CACCGUGGCGGCGGUGUAAAACAAACAUUAAGCCGCCAGCGUCCCGGAACAAGGCAUUUUCCGAUUCUCCGGGGGUUGCA
rnacentral:ribozyme from 20 species